rnacentral:tRNA from 1 species
GGGCGAAUGGCGGAAUUGGUAGACGCGCUAGCUUCAGGAGUUAGUGAGCGCAAGCUCGUGGAGGUUCAAGUCCUCUUUCGCCCACCA